CAUAGUAAUAAUUCUUUACUUCGCGCAAGAAAAUUUUUCUAUCUGUCGACCCCCAAUGCUCCGGCAUCCGGCUUGUAACAAGAAAAUUUACAAUAUCUGCAUACCAUGGUAUACUAGAAAGUGCAAACAACUGCUCUUCAGAGAAUGAGUCCUUGAUGGAAAACUGUGGCACUGAAUCAUGAAAAACUAAUCGUGAUAAAUGGUCAGCAACCACAUUCUCUACUCCUUUUUUAUCUUUGAUAGUGAUGUUAAAUUCUUGGAGUAGAAGUAUCCAUCGUAUUAAGCGUGGUUUGGCCUCU
rnacentral:lncRNA from 1 species